GUAGUGUAGUGGCAGAGCACGCGUCCUCGGAUAGGAUGAAACACGGGUUCGAAUCCCGCCGCCA